rnacentral:rRNA from 1 species
GACGAACGCUGGCGGCGUGCUUAACACAUGCAAGUCGAACGGAAAGGCCCUGCUUUUGUGGGGUGCUCGAGUGGCGAAAGGGUGAGUAACACGUGAGUAACCUGCCCUUGACUUUGGGAUAACUUCAGGAAACUGGGGCUAAUACCGGAUAGGAGCUCCUGCUGCAUGGUGGGGGUUGGAAAGUUUCGGCGGUUGGUGAUGGACUCGCGGCUUAUCAGCUUGUUGGUGGGGUAGUGGCUUACCAAGGCUUUGACCGAUAGCCGGCCUGAGAGGGUGACCGGCCACAUUGGGACUGAGAUACGGCACAGACUCCUACGGGAGGCAGCAGUGGGGAAUAUUGCACAAUGGGCGGAAGCCUGAUGCAGCAACGCCGCGUGCGGGAUGACGGCCUUCGGGUUGUAGACCGCUUUCGCCUGUGACGAAGCGUGAGUGACGGUAAUGGGUAAAGAAGCACCGGCUAACUACGUG